CACAAGUAUUCUCAGAAUCCAGAGGACAAUGCAGUCAGUCGGUGCCAGGCGUUUUCGUUCCAGACGCGCCGGAACGGUGAACAUCCGCAUACUGCUACAAUAGAUUACUAUUGAACAUCUACGAGGAGUAAAAACCAUAACCACCUAGUCCUUGAAGAAUAACAAGGUUCCUCGUCUGAAACUUGGCUGUGGACUGACUGUCUCGGGUCCAAAAAUUGGUCCCUUAUAUGUCCUCACAAUAAUAGGUGCUGAAGCUACACAUUGUUCAAAGUUUAAUUAACAUAAAUAACAAUUAAAACUUAACUCAUUAAAUUAACUGAAUACAUAAACUUCUGUCUUUUUAACAGUUUCUCCUACUACUAGAGUUAAGCCAAAUUAUUUGUUUAACUCAUGAAAUUAACAUAUGUAGUUAUGCAAAGAAUACUUUUGAUAAAACUGUUACUUACUUUGGGAU